GGGACACGUGGUAUCCUGUCUGAAUAUGGGGGGACCAUCCUCCAAGGCUAAAUACUCCUGACUGACCGAUAGUGAACCAGUACCGUGAGGGAAAGGCGAAAAGAACCCCGGCGAGGGGAGUGAAAAAGAACCUGAAACCGUGUACGUACAAGCAGUGGGAGCCUCUUAAUGGGGUGACUGCGUACCUUUUGUAUAAUGGGUCAGCGACUUAUAUUCUGUAGCAAGGUUAACCGAAUAGGGGAGCCGAAGGGAAACCGAGUCUUAACUGGGCGUUAAGUUGCAGGGUAUAGACCCGAAACCCGGUGAUCUAGCCAUGGGCAGGUUGAAGGUUGGGUAACACUAACUGGAGGACCGAACCGACUAAUGUUGAAAAAUUAGCGGAUGACUUGUGGCUGGGGGUGAAAGGCCAAUCAAACCGGGAGAUAGCUGGUUCUCCCCGAAAGCUAUUUAGGUAGCGCCUCGUGAAUUCAUCUCCGGGGGUAG
rnacentral:rRNA from 1 species